rnacentral:misc_RNA from 1 species
AACGCACCUUGCGCUCCUAGGUCUUCCGAGGAGCAUGCCUGUUUGAGUGCCCAGAAUCAAUCUCAACUAACACUUCGUGUGUGAGUUGGAUUUGGAGGUCUGCCGUUGACUUGUUCACGGCUCCUCCUAAAUAUAUUAGCUGCUUGGUAAUGAUACCGUUGGCUUGAUAUUAUGUCUAUGCUACGGUUGAAUUAGUCCAGUGCUUCUAAUCGUCUUCGGACACUAUUCUGACCUCGGGCCUCAAAUCAGGUAGGAUUACCCGCUGAACUUAA